UGGGUAACCUGCCUCAAAGAGGGGAAUAGCCUCCCGAAAGGGAGAUUAAUACCGCAUAAUAUGUUUAAGUCGCAUGACUUUAACAUCAAAGGAUUUUCUUUUAGAACUUCCACUUUGAGAUGGACCCGCGGCGCAUUAGCUAGUUGGUGAGGUAACGGCUCACCAAGGCAACGAUGCGUAGCCGACCUGAGAGGUGAUCGGCCACAUUGGAACUGAGAUACGGCCCAGACUCCUAGGGAAG
rnacentral:rRNA from 1 species